rfam:Lactobacillus delbrueckii subsp. bulgaricus ATCC 11842 complete genome
AUUUGUUACAAGUCCUGAUAGGAUUCACCAAAUUGGUGAAGAUGCCUUGUAACCGUGUAGCUAGUCUAUAGGGGGACACAUAUAGAUG